rnacentral:tRNA from 1 species
UUCGGUGUGGCGCAAUGGUAGCGCGACAGACUUCUAAUCUGUAGGUUGCGGGUUCGAGUCCCGCCAUCGAAA